UCCAUCUCUCUCUUAUCUUCUCUCUUCUUCCUCUCUUUAUGAGAAUCUCCUCUUUAUCUUCUUCUUGAUCCUGAGUCAUCAGUCCUCAUCCUUGCUAAUUCACCAUCGCAUCCUCGCAAUGUUGCGAAAAUCUUCCCGUGGAUGGAGGAUCAAGCAAGAAAUGGCUGCCGUUCGCAUGCCUUCACCUCGCCUUAACCCGGUCCGUGAACGGCCCGGCUCGCUCGCUCGCUCCACUCCACUCAGCUCGCUGUCUCCUCUCCCCCCUCUCUUCUUCUCCUGCCAGAAGAACGUCCCACCCACGUCUCACUUUUGUUUUAGCCGCCAAACCGCCAUAUUUCCUCUCUCUACCGGCUCUGUCGCGACUGGCUUAUCCGCCACCUCAUGCUACUCUAAUGCGCCCGAGCUCGACCCUCAUAGCCCCGACGACUUCACUCACGUCGAGGGUCCGAACCCGUAUGUGGACAGCCUGAGAGAGAGCUCCGUUGGAAUCGAUGACAGGAGGGAGGAUGACGGCGAGGGAUUCGGUCGCAGGAGGACGCUACCCGAGGAACUCUCCAGCACUGUGGUGGUCCUCACGUGCAUAUCCAUCGACGGCACAUGCGACGUGUUCCUGCUUCGUCAGGGAUUAAGUAGAGAACAAGUACCCGUCGUCAGCUGCUUGAAACCAAAGGAGCCAUAUUUGCAAUUGUGGUCGCUUGAUGUGGAUACGUUUGAAUCGCUGAUGCAUAAUUCGAAGGUGUGUCUGAUAAAAAGGUUUAUGGUAGUCCUUGAGCUUGUUUCUUUACAAAUUUAUUCUGACAAAACUGCAUGGGAGGCUUCAUUGUCUCAGUGUUCCUCCCCCAAGCAAAAAGCUUGGUGACACGCACAAGCAUUGACGAAUCAGUGGAUGAUGAUAGUUUUUAAUAGGUUGUGUGAUGCUAGGUUUGUUUUGACUCUAGAACCGCCUUCACAAUAUCUUACCUUUUUAUCCCGUACGUUUUGUAGCUUAAUGCUGUAAUUCCACUUUACAAUUUGUUGCUUUUCCUUCUGAAGAAGCACCGGAAUAUCAAUCAUUAAAGUCGAGGAGAAGAGUAUUUUGACAUAAAUUGUAUCAUGGAAUUGAAUAUCUUCAGUGUAUAUUAAAUUAUCUUUUGAUCAGCAUCAUUUGAUACUAAUCUAAAGGUCAACUUGAUUUUAUCUCCAUCUUUGGGUGGUUUCUAAUGGUCAAUCCGACCGGUAUCCCUUACUACCGGGCAUGUGCAAAGAAAUGUUUUUCUGCAAUCUGUAACCGGUUUUGACCGCUGUUAACUUACAAGGUCUGGUUUAAUGUCAGCAUUAGUCUGUUUGCUAUAUGCUUUUGCAUCUGUUUUAACUGGACUCCACAUAUAUCCUUCUGGAUCUCACUUCUUUAUUAGGCUGCUGUUAAUAAGCUUGAGGUCUGUCGCGGACAUGAGCUUCGCGUAGCGUUUGGAGAAGCAAUGAAGUAUGGUGGCAAGGUUGCUAAUGAGCUGGAGGACUAUCCAGGAUAUGAGUUUUGUGUAGCUAAAGAUGAUUGCACACCGAGAGAUCUUACCUUGGCAAUGACACUCCAGCUAUCAACAAAGUUCCUUGUAUCAGCUUUGUAUGGAGUGG